rnacentral:ncRNA from 2 species
CACUACUCGUCGCUUCAACCAAUUGAAUGGUCUAGUGAAGUGUUCGAAUUGUGGAAACCUAUACAGUUUGUUGCCUUUGAGGUUGUGAGAAGUCCACUAAGCCUUAUCAUUUAGAGGAAGGAGAAGUCGUAACAAGGUUUCCAUAAGUGAACUUGUGGAAU